AUUGAACGCUGGCGGCAGGCCUAACACAUGCAAGUCGAACGGUAACAGGAAACAGCUUGCUGUUUCGCUGACGAGUGGCGGACGGGUGAGUAAUGUCUGGGAAACUGCCUGAUGGAGGGGGAUAACUACUGGAAACGGUAGCUAAUACCGCAUAACGUCGCAAGACCAAAGAGGGGGACCCUCGGGCCUCUUGCCAUCGGAUGUGCCCAGAUGGGAUUAGCUUGUUGGUGGGGUAACGGCUCACCAAGGCGACGAUCCCUAGCUGGUCUGAGAGGAUGACCGGCCACACUGGAACUGGGACACGGUCCAGACUCCUACGGGAGGCAGCAGUGGGGAAUAUUGCGCAAUGGGCGCAAGCCUGAUGCAGCCAUGCCGCGUGUAUGAAGAAGGCCUUCGGGUUGUAAAGUACUUUCAGCGGGGAGGAAGGGAGUAAAGUUAAUACCUUUGCUCAUUGACGUUACCCGCAGAAGAAGCACCGGCUAACUCCGUG
rnacentral:rRNA from 1 species